rnacentral:rRNA from 1 species
AUUGAACGCUGGCGGCAUGCCUUACACAUGCAAGUCGAACGGCAGCACGGGUGCUUGCACCUGGUGGCGAGUGGCGAACGGGUGAGUAAUAUAUCGGAACGUACCUUAUUGUGGGGGAUAACGCAGCGAAAGCUGUGCUAAUACCGCAUAAUCCCUAGGGGGGAAAGCGGGGGACCGUAAGGCCUCGCGCAAUUAGAGCGGCCGAUACCUGAUUAGCUAGUUGGUGAGGUAAAGGCGCAAAAAGGCAACGAUCAGUAGCUGGUCUGAGAGGACGAUCAGCCACACUGGGACUGAGACACGGCCCAGACUCCUACGGGAGGCAGCAGUGGGGAAUUUUGGACAAUGGGGGCAACCCUGAUCCAGCAAUGCCGCGUGAGUGAAGAAGGCCUUCGGGUUGUAAAGCUCUUUUGUCAGGGAAGAAACAGCAGCUCUAACACAGUUUGCGAAUGACGGUACCUGAAGAAUAAGCACCGGCUAACUACGUGCCAGCCGCCGCCGUAA